ensembl:lncRNA
CAACUAAUGCAACGUGGUGAACACGCGUCUUUUCAGCGCUGUCUUGCGAGUGAAGCGUGUAGUUAUCUUAUUGGCGAGUGUUCAUCAGUCUCGGGUACCUGGACACUGGGGAAAACAUCGAUCUCAGCCACACGUGUAUAAAGCAGGGUUGUGGGAUAAUGACCACACUUUUUUCUCCGUCAUCAAGUCAGCUUCAGAAUGGGUGUAUGUCCAACAACAACAACACAUAGGUAGUAUAGAACACGGAGAUAUAGUAUUCAUUUGUAUUUCUAACAGUAGUUAGGAUGGUAGCAUUCUUUUUUUUUCUUUUUGUCUCUUAUAGUUGUGCUAAUUGGGAAGAAAACUCAAUGCAUCAAGUUCAAGGGACCAAUAUUGGGGGGAGCACAGAGAACCAGUGUGGGAAAGUACCUUUGUAACCGUAGUUAUUACCCAAUAAUACCCAACCCUAUUUGGACAUUUCUAGAGGCAAAAUAGCCACUAGCUUUGAUGGAGCUAUCUGUAACAUUUAUGUUUGCAGUGUUUCUAUUGUUUGCACAUUUAUAAAACAGCUCAUAUGAAUAGUUUUAUACACUGUCAGUGUUGGAUAGAUGCAUGGCUGGCUAUGUACAUUAGCCAAAGCUGAUCUUGUAACCCUGAAAAGAAGC